ACCAAGCAGAGAAAGAAGAAAAGCCAGGAAAAGCAGAGAGAGAAAAAGGAGAAGGGAGAGUUGGUUGAACGGAAGUCGAUCCGUGGUCCGAUUGAGUUGGAACCUUGUCAGGAGGUUUAUGAUUCAGAGUUUUACAUUCUGAACGGUGAAGAUCGGGUUUGAAGCUCUCUAGGAACAAAUCCAGGGUGUAUUUGUUGAGUCACUUAUUUGGUGAGAUUUCUCCAAUUGUUUCUCUAGUUGUUGAUUAGCUCUAGUUUUAGCUAGAGAAGAACUUUGUAUAACUAUUAUUUGAUAGUGAAGAUUUUUCUGGCGGCCCGUGGUUUUUUCCCUCUACACUGGAGGGUUUUCCACGUAAAUCUUGGUGUGCUUUAUUUUUCCUGCGCAUUU
rnacentral:lncRNA from 1 species